CAUUCAUUAGUUGCAAAACAUUUUAUUCCCAUCCAUUAUUUUGUAGAACUGGAAAAAAAUCAUCAAGAAAUUCAAGAAAUAUCUUCUCAGCUAGAAACUAUUCGGAAGCUAAAUAUAAGUUUUAUGGAAAAAUGUAUUAAAGACAAAGCUAAAUCGAGGGCCACCCAUUCGAUGAUUUAUAAUCUUGACAUCAUUAAAAUGCACAUUGUCAGUAUUUCGGAUAUGAAAAAAGAAACUCGAGAAUUAGAAAUGAUUAACAACCAUCACUUUAAUUGCACUAACAAAAUUAUUCUAAAUGAUGCAAAUGCAAAUGCAUUUGGAACAACGUUCUCAGCAACAAAUGGAGCUUAUUCUUUAUGAAAAUACAAAAGAAAAACUCCACCGAUCCUACAAGAGACUUGAGAAUGUUAAAAUGCUUACAAAAACUGUAUCCGAUGCACUUAAGAAUGCCGAACUCAUAUGGAUAACUACACAAUUGGAUUUGGAAAAAAUUCGUAACCGAUUUAGUAACUUGGAUGAAUUAAAUAUGCAAUGAAAAAUGUACAAAAGCUUGUUUGUAUGAAUAUAAAAAGUUUAGAAGGCUUUUGAAACAUGCUUUGAAUGCAUUGAUAAAUAAGAAACCUUAUACGUCUGUUUUGGAUUUAAUCAAUGAACUCAAUCGAAUUGAGAACAUCUUGAAGCCUUAUGUGUAUGAUAGUCCUGUUAAAUUGGCCAUGUUCGAACAAAUAAACUUACUCAAACCAAUUUUCAAUGCAAAAAUGAAUAAGAAACAUUUUGAAAUGGAUUUUCGGCAUUUGCGUUCUCAAUUCCAGGAGAAUAUUCAUGAAAAAAUGAACGAUGAUGCCUUGUUGCAAAAAAAUUACUAGAUGCCGUUGCUGAGGUUCGAAAAGCAGCUUUUAAAGUACCAGUAAUGACGGGAGUCAAAUCACUUGGGGGUACAAAGACAAAAGGAGGAGAAUCAAGUAUACCUUGAAAUGUUAUUGUAAUAUUUAAUUUUUUUUUGAAUAAAAGUUAGUUAAUAUAAUAAAUUGGAACUU